UACGAAGGGGGCUAGCGUUGCUCGGAAUUACUGGGCGUAAAGCGCACGUAGGCGGGUUCUUAAGUCGGUGGUGAAAUCCUGGAGCUCAACUCCAGAACUGCCUUCGAAACUGGGAAUCUUGAGUCCGGGAGAGGUGAGUGGAACUGCGAGUGUAGAGGUGAAAUUCGUAGAUAUUCGCAAGAACACCAGUGGCGAAGGCGGACUCACUGGCCCGAUACCUGACGCUGAGGCACGAAAGCG
rnacentral:rRNA from 1 species